rnacentral:rRNA from 1 species
GGCCUAAACAUGCAAGUCGAGCGGAACGACACUAAUAGAUCCUUCGGGAUGCAGUUAAUGGGCGUCGAGCGGCGGACGGGUGAGUAAUGCCUAGGAAAUUGCCUUGAUGUGGGGGAUAACCAUUGGAAACGAUGGCUAAUACCGCAUAAUGCCUACGGGCCAAAGAGGGGGAUCUUCGGACCUCUCGCGUCAAGAUAUGCCUAGGUGGGAUUAGCUAGUUGGUGAGGUAA